rnacentral:rRNA from 1 species
GAUGAACGCUGGCGGCGUGCUUAACACAUGCAAGUCGAACGAUGAAGCCCAGCUUGCUGGGUGGAUUAGUGGCGAACGGGUGAGUAACACGUGAGUAACCUGCCCCUGACUCUGGGAUAAGCCCGGGAAACUGGGUCUAAUACUGGAUAUGACCUGUCACCGCAUGGUGGUGGGUGGAAAGAUUUUUUGGUUGGGGAUGGACUCGCGGCCUAUCAGCUUGUUGGUGAGGUAGUGGCUCACCAAGGCGACGACGGGUAGCCGGCCUGAGAGGGUGACCGGCCACACUGGGACUGAGACACGGCCCAGACUCCUACGGGAGGCAGCAGUGGGGAAUAUUGCACAAUGGGCGCAAGCCUGAUGCAGCGACGCCGCGUGAGGGAUGACGGCCUUCGGGUUGUAAACCUCUUUCAGUAGGGAAGAAGCCUUUGGGUGACGGUACCUGCAGAAGAAGCGCCGGCUAACUACGUGCCAGCAGCCGCGGUAAUACGUAGGGCGCAAGCGUUAUCCGGAUUUAUUGGGCGUAAAGAGCUCGUAGGCGGUUUGUCGCGUCUGCCGUGAAAGUCCGGGGCUUAACUCCGGAUCUGCGGUGGGUACGGGCAGACUAGAGUGCAGUAGGGGAGACUGGAAUUCCUGGUGUAGCGGUGAAAUGCGCAGAUAUCAGGAGGAACACCGAUGGCGAAGGCAGGUCUCUGGGCUGUAACUGACGCUGAGGAGCGAAAGCAUGGGGAGCGAACAGGAUUAGAUACCCUGGUAGUCCAUGCCGUAAACGUUGGGCACUAGGUGUGGGGGACAUUCCACGUUUUCCGCGCCGUAGCUAACGCAUUAAGUGCCCCGCCUGGGGAGUACGGCCGCAAGGCUAAAACUCAAAGGAAUUGACGGGGGCCCGCACAAGCGGCGGAGCAUGCGGAUUAAUUCGAUGCAACGCGAAGAACCUUACCAAGGCUUGACAUGGACUGGAUCGCCGCAGAGAUGUGGUUUCCCUUCGGGGCUGGUUCACAGGUGGUGCAUGGUUGUCGUCAGCUCGUGUCGUGAGAUGUUGGGUUAAGUCCCGCAACGAGCGCAACCCUCGUUCCAUGUUGCCAGCGGGUUAUGCCGGGGACUCAUGGGAGACUGCCGGGGUCAACUCGGAGGAAGGUGAGGACGACGUCAAAUCAUCAUGCCCCUUAUGUCUUGGGCUUCACGCAUGCUACAAUGGCCGGUACAAAGGGUUGCGAUACUGUGAGGUGGAGCUAAUCCCAAAAAGCCGGUCUCAGUUCGGAUUGGGGUCUGCAACUCGACCCCAUGAAGUCGGAGUCGCUAGUAAUCGCAGAUCAGCAACGCUGCGGUGAAUACGUUCCCGGGCCUUGUACACACCGC